rnacentral:rRNA from 1 species
UGGGGAAUAUUGGACAAUGGGCGAAAGCCUGAUCCAGCCAUGCCGCGUGUGUGAAGAAGGUCUUCGGAUUGUAAAGCACUUUAAGUUGGGAGGAAGGGUUGUAGAUUAAUACUCUGCAAUUUUGACGUUACCGACAGAAUAAGCACCGGCUAACUCUGUGCCAGCAGCCGCGGUAAUACAGAGGGUGCAAGCGUUAAUCGGAAUUACUGGGCGUAAAGCGCGCGUAGGUGGUUAGUUAAGUUGGAUGUGAAAUCCCCGGGCUCAACCUGGGAACUGCAUUCAAAACUGACUGACUAGAGUAUGGUAGAGGGUGGUGGAAUUUCCUGUGUAGCGGUGAAAUGCGUAGAUAUAGGAAGGAACACCAGUGGCGAAGGCGACCACCUGGACUGAUACUGACACUGAGGUGCGAAAGCGUGGGGAGCAAACAGGAUUAGAUACCCCAGUAGUCCCUGAGCGGGCUGGCAAGGCGCAU